GUGUGGAGCAGAGCAGAACACAAACUUCUCUGCAGGAAGCUAAGAAGCCAGUGAGUCAUUUUUCCUCAGGGACAGAAGCAGGAGCCAUUUAUCACACAAAAAUAAAGCAGUGAAUUUGGGGACACCGCCUUUCCUGCAGUGCAGCAUUCCAUAGUCACUAUCCUAUGUCGUUUCAUUGAGUAAUUGUGUUGUGAGGUUCCCACAAUCCCCUCGGCCGAGCACGUGAAUGGCGUUACCCAGGUGCUCAGGACAGAGUGGGCCUAUUGAGAAAUCGUAUCUUCAUUAGAUACAACCUGCAGAGCUUCCACCCUGCUUCCCAUCACAAAAAAAGCCUAUUUUAAAACUUCCCAUGUGAGAUGUCAUCUGCCUGCUCCCCCCUGAGGGAGACAGGCCUCUUCUCCGUGGUCAAACAUUCAUCUUAUCCAACUCGUGCUCCAAGUUUCACUGUAUUCCUGAGUCGCAUACCUGAACACCCCAUUUCUCAACUUUUGCAGAAACAGAAGUUGUGGCUAUAGACCAAAGUGCAUACACUAAACUCAGCUUCAUGUUCCUGUAUGUAGAUGUAGAGAAGCCACCUUCGACUGACCCAAAGUGAGCAGCUGCUGAAAUCUGAUUUUUGAAGGACUCUGGAAGCUUGGAG